UUGGGAUUGCACUUGGGCUCACCAAAUGGGCCACAUGGGGAUCUCUACCCUUAUGUCUCCUGGCUCUGGUGACAUCCUCAAUAAUUAUGAAACUUCCUAAAAAGUUUCAUAAGUUUCUUCCUAAGAGCCAACACUUCCUGAGCACAAAAUGCCAGGCAUUUUGCUAACUCAUGGGCACCAAUUUGCCUUCCCAACAUUUUGAGGGCCAGAGCUAUUUGUCAGGUAAGGGUUUCCCUUAUUACCCAGUGAGCAUUGACAGAGUCCAGCCUGUGUUCCAAGUCAGGGGAGAGGGCUAGGGGUUCCUUAGGCAAAAGGACUGGGUACAUCGAUGUCCG
rnacentral:lncRNA from 1 species